rnacentral:rRNA from 1 species
GACAGCAGUAGCCGCGGUAAUACGAGGGGGGCAAGCGUUGUUCGGAAUUAUUGGGCGUAAAGGGCGCGUAGGCGGUUUGGCAAGUCUUGUGUGAAAUCUUCAGGCUCAACCUGGGGGCUGCACGAGAAACUGCCGGGCUUGAGUAUGGGAGAGGUGAGUGGAAUUUCCGGUGUAGCGGUGAAAUGCGUAGAUAUCGGAAGGAACACCUGUGGCGAAAGCGGCUCACUGGACCAUAACUGACGCUGAGGCGCGAAAGCUAGGGGAGCAAACAGGAUUAGAUACCCCAGUAGUCCCUGUCUCUUAUAA